UCAAACACCAAAAAGUAGUACCUAAUUUUAUAAUAAUGUAAUUAAAAAAAUAUCAAAAUUACACAAAAUGCCACUACUACGAAGUCAUGCCACAUGUCCACCUCCGUCAAUCUUCCUUUGGCCGCAACUGCUGCGGCAGGUCCAGAUACUGCAGAUGUGGCAGUUGAGGUAGAUGCGGGAGCAGCUGCAGUCCCAGCUCCAGAUACCGCAGCUGUGACAGGUCCAGAUACCGCAGCUGUGACAGGUCCAGAUACCGCAGCUGUGACAGGUCCAGAUACUGCAGCUUCUUCAGAUACCGCAUGUCCAACUGCGGCUCCAGCAGCGGCUCCAUCACUUGUUGCUGGUAACCAACUAUAUUGUCCUCAACCUUUAAAAAAAGAAGAAAUUUAGUGUGCAUGAAGGAACUCAAACCUUGACCCUCAAAUGAGGAAAGCCUCAUUCACAAACCACUUCACCAACCUCGUUUUUGUGGUAUUUUUUCAGUUAUGCAAUAUUUAUAUUAACAGUCAAUGGUUUUUUUUUCUUAAUAAAGAAAAUUAUUUCACAUAUGGGCCUCCUCUUUGGCCUAAUUCAAAACAAAAUUUGAUUCAUAGAUAUUAAAAUCCAAACAGAAUUACUCUGUCUCAAAUCCUAAUUAGUUGUUA
rnacentral:lncRNA from 1 species